UUGCAGACUUACUGAAAAGAACCUUGACACAUCUAGAAGCAUUGCUCUGGAACAAGUGAUGAAGCCUUUUCAUCUGUGUAAUGUGCUGCUGAGUAAAACACACCACAGAUGUAUUACAGAUGACUUGAGCAAUCCAGUGCAACCAUCAACUGACAACUGUACAUCUGCAUCAACACAAACCACAGCCUUCCACCUUGGUCCAGCGGGCCAUAUUAAUUUUCUCUACAGACUUUCAUAUCAAGAGGCACCGACAACAGCCAGAAUUUAAAAAUGCACCUGGAAAAUUCUGGAGGAUUGGUCUUAAAUCUGCACAUCAAAAUCACUCCCUGCAAAUGUAAGAAGCUUGAUGGUGCAAAAUUCCAUGCUGUUGCUGCUAGUGUGUCACUAGCACCAACAGCCUGGUUGAUCAGGCCAGCAACAAAUAGGUGUGGCCUGGGACUAGGCUGUGGGGGUGAUGACCCCUGAAGUAAGCUGCAGACAAUAGUGCCAUUAUUUUGUUUGAAGCAAGAGAAUUAUUUUCCAAAUUUUUCAUACCUCAAGCCUUAUUACAAGAAAAUUCUCAUAGUAUUGUGCAUAUAUUGAUGUGCUGUGUUCUGCAUCACUGUAAGUGUUCAAACCUUUUCCUUGUUUUGUGUUUUUUUUUUUUUGCCUCUAUUAUUUUUUAUAUUUCAUUGAACAAAUUCACUCUUAGUGCAAUUUUUUAACUUCUUUUAAAGUAAAUCAUUCUUUUGUUUGUUCAGUAAGUGUUUGCUUAAGCUGCAAUUAAGAGUUAAAGUGUUCAAUCAGUUCAUUCCUUGAUAAUUUUUUUUUGUUGCUUUUGUAAACUGUAUUUUCUUGUGUGUGUUAUUUUUUAUUAUUGCAACAUUAACUCAUUUUACAAUAAUUCUUGUGUAAACAUUGUGCUGCCAUUAAAUUUUUUUUUUCUUUCAGAAAUUUUAUGUAGUGUUGUGUUGUGCAGUACUUUUGAUUAGAAAUUGUUAUUUGCAAUAUUGCUACAGUUUAUUUCAGUGCAAUAUCCUGUGAUUUCAGUUUCACAUUUUCUGUGCAUAAUAUUUUAUUCUUUGUGUGUCAUUUUAUUUUCUUUUUAGUGAAUUGCUUUCCCAGUUUGUUUUAAUUUUGCACAAGAUUUGUUGAUCCCAUUUUAUAAUUUUUUUUGUUGAAUUUCUUUAUUCAAUUGAGAGUAAAGACAACUCACUGUGCCAUUCAUUCAAUUUAAAGUAAAUCUGAGUAAAUUUGAUUUGAGUAAAGUACAAUUUCUCUUGAUUUUCAGAGUGUUGCUUAUCCAGUUGAGUAAUUUUUUUUAUUUUCUUUACUUAUGCAGAAUAGUUAAGCAUUUUCUUCCCAUUUAGGCAAAGUGUGUCAUUCUCUCUAUUUUUCUUGCCUUUAUGUCCUUGAGUAAGUUCCCUGAGAAGAUGUCCCAGUCACUUUUGUUUUGCUCACUUAGUGUAUCAUGCCAGUCAGAGUCAAUAUGAAUCAGUCCACAGUACCAAUAUUCCCCUGCUGACUAAAAGACAUUACCUAGCCCUUGAGCAAUGUGCUUGUUCUCACAGCUUGUAUCUGAGAUUUGUUAAAGUGCUGCGGAAUGCAAAGUUCAGAUUAAGUUCCUAUAGAUCCGUGAAUUCCUUAUUAACAUAGCCGAGUGGUCAGGCACUAGUAACUCUGUCACUCCCAUCAGUGUUUCACCUACACCUUCAGACUUGCAGGAUAGUGUUCCAUUGCCUCAAGUGUCCGGGGACACUUGAGCGCACAGCCUAUCCCUGCAAUGUCUGCUAGUUCAAGAAGUAGUUUCUCCACAGGGGAUGCCUUGUCAGAAAACGAUUACUUGAAACUAGUAAUGCCAUCUCUUGUUGAUGUCACAUGCCGCCUGCAGAAAGACGUCUCUGUUGCGGCUAGUGCUCUUACUAGAGUGUCUGUUGUUGUCCCUAGUGUUCCAGAUGGUGAUAACGUCCUAGUUGACAGUGAUUCCUGCAAGGUCAAGGGUUUAUUUGUUGAACCUUCCUUACAUGUUGUAAGAGACAGUAAGAUCCAUUU